rnacentral:rRNA from 1 species
GACAGAGGGGGCAAGCGUUGCUCGGAAUUACUGGGCGUAAAGGGCGCGUAGGCGGCGCAGCAAGUCAGGGGUGAAAUCCCGGGGCUCAACCCCGGAACUGCCCUUGAAACUGCAGUGCUAGAAUCUUGGAGAGGCGAGUGGAAUUCCGAGUGUAGAGGUGAAAUUCGUAGAUAUUCGGAAGAACACCAGUGGCGAAGGCGACUCGCUGGACAAGUAUUGACGCUGAGGUGCGAAAGCGUGGGGAGCAAACAGG